rnacentral:rRNA from 1 species
UACGUAGGUGGCAAGCGUUGUCCGGAUUUAUUGGGCGUAAAGAGCUCGUAGGCGGUUUGGUAAGUCGGGUGUGAAAUCUCCACGCUCAACGUGGAGGGGCCACUCGAUACUGCCAUGACUCGAGUCCGGUAGAGGAGUGUGGAAUUCCCGGUGUAGCGGUGAAAUGCGCAGAUAUCGGGAGGAACACCCGUAGCGAAGGCGGCACUCUGGGCCGAAACUGACGCUGAGGAGCGAAAGCGUGGGGAGCAAACAGG